CAGCCAUCUGUCUUUUCCUCUUCACUUGGCUUCUGGCAAUGCUUGCAAACUUUCUUGCCACAGUCCGAGGACGGCUGAUUGGGAUUGAAUGCCUUUCUGCUCCCUCUACAGGUCGAGAACCUCCGCCCAUCUGGUCAGUCUUCCAAGCUGCCGCCCUGCCAACCCACCAGAGAACAAACAAUUCCCUCUGCCUGCCACGCCUCUGCUUCAACCUGCCUGCUCUGAGCCAUUACCCUAUGCCUGAACCAAGCCUUUACAUGUUGUGCUCUAAUAAAACUGUUAAAAUCUU